CCCUGUUCCUGGACCUGAUACGUUCCCUUACUCCCUUUCCACCUUGCUCCUUCUUUCCUUCCUUCCUUUUCAGUAUAAAUAUUUUGUUUUCUAUUAGAGUAAUGCAUGUUUGGAGUUGUAAAGGACCCCAUUGUUUUGCACACAGGACUAUCAAAAUGAAGGAGCACUGUGAGAUGUGAAGUAACCUGAGCCUUGCACGGCAGGCUCUUACUCCAGACUGCCUUGUACAGAACUUCUCCUUACAACACUCUUCACGGACGAACAAUCACCCAGGAAGAAUAAAUGAAACAUGCCACCAUUUUGCAAAUCUACCAGCAUUGUGCAGUAUAGAAGCAACUAGUCCUAUGUGGCUAUUGAGCACGUGAAAUGUGGCUGGCCCAAACUGAGAUAUACGAUAUCUAUGUAUCAGAGGAAAAAAGCAUGUGAUUUCAGGCUUCUGCUGGGAGUCUUGGAAUAUAUUCCCCAAGGAAUGUGCCCCUAUAUUUUAUGCCUGUAUUCCUCAAGAGGUGAGAGAAAUAACUGCCUGGGAAGAGGAACUCUUGAACCACAAGGAAAUUAUUUUCAUCCAAAUAUCCUUAGUGAUUAAAAAAUAA